GGGUUGUGAGGUUAAGCGACUAAGCGUACACGGUGGAUGCCCUGGCAGUCAGAGGCGAUGAAGGACGUGCUAAUCUGCGAUAAGCGCCGGUAAGGUGAUAUGAACCGUUAUAACCGGCGAUUUCCGAAUGGGGAAACCCAGUGUGACUCGUCACACUAUCAUUAACUGAAUCCAUAGGUUAAUGAGGCGAACCGGGGGAACUGAAACAUCUAAGUACCCCGAGGAAAAGAAAUCAACCGAGAUUCCCCCAGUAGCGGCGAGCGAACGGGGAGGAGCCCAGAGCCUGAAUCAGCAUGUGUGUUAGUGGAAGCGUCUGGAAAGGCGCGCGAUACAGGGUGACAGCCCCGUACACAAAAGCGCAUGUGUUGUGAGCUCGAUGAGUAGGGCGGGACACGUGGUAUCCUGUCUGAAUAUGGGGGGACCAUCCUCCAAGGCUAAAUACUCCUGACUGACCGAUAGUGAACCAGUACCGUGAGGGAAAGGCGAAAAGAACCCCGGCGAGGGGAGUGAAAAAGAACCUGAAACCGUGUACGUACAAGCAGUGGGAGCACCCUUUGGGGUGUGACUGCGUACCUUUUGUAUAAUGGGUCAGCGACUUAUAUUCUGUAGCAAGGUUAACCGAAUAGGGGAGCCGGAGGGAAACCGAGUCUUAAUUGGGCGUUAAGUUGCAGGGUAUAGACCCGAAACCCGGUGAUCUAGCCAUGGGCAGGUUGAAGGUUGGGUAACACUAACUGGAGGACCGAACCGACUAAUGUUGAAAAAUUAGCGGAUGACCUGUGGCUGGGGGUGAAAGGCCAAUCAAACCGGGAGAUAGCUGGUUCUCCCCGAAAGCUAUUUAGGUAGCGCCUCGUGAAUUCAUCUCCGGGGGUAGAGCACUGUUUCGGCUAGGGGGCCAUCCCGGCUUACCAACCCGAUGCAAACUGCGAAUACCGGAGAAUGUUAUCACGGGAGACACACGGCGGGUGCUAACGUCCGUCGUGAAGAGGGAAACAACCCAGACCGCCAGCUAAGGUCCCAAAGUCAUGGUUAAGUGGGAAACGAUGUGGGAAGGCCCAGACAGCCAGGAUGUUGGCUUAGAAGCAGCCAUCAUUUAAAGAAAGCGUAAUAGCUCACUGGUCGAGUCGGCCUGCGCGGAAGAUGUAACGGGGCUAAACUAUGCACCGAAGCUGCGGCAGCGACACUAUGUGUUGUUGGGUAGGGGAGCGUUCUGUAAGCCUGUGAAGGUGUGUCGUGAGGCAUGCUGGAGGUAUCAGAAGUGCGAAUGCUGACAUAAGUAACGAUAAAGCGGGUGAAAAGCCCGCUCGCCGGAAGACCAAGGGUUCCUGUCCAACGUUAAUCGGGGCAGGGUGAGUCGACCCCUAAGGCGAGGCCGAAAGGCGUAGUCGAUGGGAAACGGGUUAAUAUUCCCGUACUUGGUGUUACUGCGAAGGGGGGACGGAGAAGGCUAUGUUGGCCGGGCGACGGUUGUCCCGGUUUAAGCGUGUAGGUGUGUGUUCCAGGUAAAUCCGGUUCACUUUAACACUGAGGCGUGACGACGAGGCACUACGGUGCUGAAGCAACAAAUGCCCUGCUUCCAGGAAAAGCCUCUAAGCAUCAGGUAACAUCAAAUCGUACCCCAAACCGACACAGGUGGUCAGGUAGAGAAUACCAAGGCGCUUGAGAGAACUCGGGUGAAGGAACUAGGCAAAAUGGUGCCGUAACUUCGGGAGAAGGCACGCUGACACGUAGGUGAAGUGAUUUACUCAUGGAGCUGAAGUCAGUCGAAGAUACCAGCUGGCUGCAACUGUUUAUUAAAAACACAGCACUGUGCAAACACGAAAGUGGACGUAUACGGUGUGACGCCUGCCCGGUGCCGGAAGGUUAAUUGAUGGGGUCAGCGCAAGCGAAGCUCCUGAUCGAAGCCCCGGUAAACGGCGGCCGUAACUAUAACGGUCCUAAGGUAGCGAAAUUCCUUGUCGGGUAAGUUCCGACCUGCACGAAUGGCGUAAUGAUGGCCAGGCUGUCUCCACCCGAGACUCAGUGAAAUUGAACUCGCUGUGAAGAUGCAGUGUACCCGCGGCAAGACGGAAAGACCCCGUGAACCUUUACUAUAGCUUGACACUGAACAUUGAGCCUUGAUGUGUAGGAUAGGUGGGAGGCUUUGAAGUGUGGACGCCAGUCUGCAUGGAGCCGACCUUGAAAUACCACCCUUUAAUGUUUGAUGUUCUAACGUGGACCCGUGAUCCGGGUUGCGGACAGUGUCUGGUGGGUAGUUUGACUGGGGCGGUCUCCUCCUAAAGAGUAACGGAGGAGCACGAAGGUUGGCUAAUCCUGGUCGGACAUCAGGAGGUUAGUGCAAUGGCAUAAGCCAGCUUGACUGCGAGCGUGACGGCGCGAGCAGGUGCGAAAGCAGGUCAUAGUGAUCCGGUGGUUCUGAAUGGAAGGGCCAUCGCUCAACGGAUAAAAGGUACUCCGGGGAUAACAGGCUGAUACCGCCCAAGAGUUCAUAUCGACGGCGGUGUUUGGCACCUCGAUGUCGGCUCAUCACAUCCUGGGGCUGAAGUAGGUCCCAAGGGUAUGGCUGUUCGCCAUUUAAAGUGGUACGCGAGCUGGGUUUAGAACGUCGUGAGACAGUUCGGUCCCUAUCUGCCGUGGGCGCUGGAGAACUGAGGGGGGCUGCUCCUAGUACGAGAGGACCGGAGUGGACGCAUCACUGGUGUUCGGGUUGUCAUGCCAAUGGCACUGCCCGGUAGCUAAAUGCGGAAGAGAUAAGUGCUGAAAGCAUCUAAGCACGAAACUUGCCCCGAGAUGAGUUCUCCCUGAGACUUAAAGUCUCCUGAAGGAACGUUGAAGACGACGACGUUGAUAGGCCGGGUGUGUAAGCGCAGCGAUGCGUUGAGCUAACCGGUACUAAUGAACCGUGAGGCUUAACCUUACAACGCCGAAG
rnacentral:rRNA from 1 species